GGGUUGUGAGGUUAAGCGACUAAGCGUACACGGUGGAUGCCCUGGCAGUCAGAGGCGAUGAAGGACGUGCUAAUCUGCGAUAAGCGUCGGUAAGGUGAUAUGAACCGUUAUAACCGGCGAUUUCCGAAUGGGGAAACCCAGUGUGUUUCGACACACUAUCAUUAACUGAAUCCAUAGGUUAAUGAGGCGAACCGGGGGAACUGAAACAUCUAAGUACCCCGAGGAAAAGAAAUCAACCGAGAUUCCCCCAGUAGCGGCGAGCGAACGGGGAGCAGCCCAGAGCCUGAAUCAGUGUGUGUGUUAGUGGAAGCGUCUGGAAAGGCGCGCGAUACAGGGUGACAGCCCCGUACACAAAAAUGCACAUACUGUGAGCUCGAUGAGUAGGGCGGGACACGUGGUAUCCUG
rnacentral:rRNA from 1 species